GCCUUGAGUAGCGGCGAGUGAAGCGGCAAAAGCUCAAAUUUGAAAUCUGGCGCCUUCGGUGUCCGAGUUGUAAUUUGAAGAUUGUAACCUUGGGGUUGGCUCUUGUCUAUGUUUCUUGGAACAGGACGUCACAGAGGGUGAGAAUCCCGUGCGAUGAGAUGCCCAAUCCUAUGUAAGGUGCUUUCGAAGAGUCGAGUUGUUUGGGAAUGCAGCUCUAAGUGGGUGGUAAAUCCAUCUAAAGCUAAAUAUUGGCGAGAGACCGAUAGCGAACAAGUACAGUGAUGGAAAGAUGAAAAGAACUUUGAAAAGAGAGUGAAAAAGUACGUGAAAUUGUUGAAAGGGAAGGGUUUGAGAUCAGACUCGAUAUUUUGUGAGCCUUGCCUUCGUGGCGGGGUGACCCGCAGCUUAUCGGGCCAGCAUCGGUUUGGGCGGUAGGAUAAUGGCGUAGGAAUGUGACUUUACUUCGGUGAAGUGUUAUAGCCUGCGUUGAUGCUGCCUGCCUAGACCGAGGACUG
rnacentral:rRNA from 1 species